GGAGGGGUGCGAGAGUUGGUUUAAUCGGCACGACUGGAAAUCGUGUGUUCGCCCAAAAGGUGAACCGAGGGUUCGAAUCCCUCCCCCUCCG
rnacentral:tRNA from 1 species